AGUGGAGUUGGAUUACAGUCAGUUUGAUAGCGAGGCAACAUGAUUCAGUUUUGGCCGUUUUGGGGUUUUGAAUCUUUUAAGAUGCAGCACACAAACAAAUAUUGAUUUAUGGAGGCAUUCAACCAUGGAACUCAAGUAGUAAUAGAUCGUUACUGACAAGUAUUCCCUGUAGCAGAGCAGCAGCUUGCACAAGUGUCAUGAACUGAACCUACUCGA